AUGGAGUGGCACGCGUGGCUGUCGUCGGCGCGGCUGGACCCGGCGCUGGUGCACGAGUACGCGCUGGUGCUGGCGCGCAACGAGCUGGAUGCCGCCGACGCCGCCUACUUCGACCACGACUUCCUCCGCAGCAUGGGCAUCGACGUCGCCAAGCACCGCCUCGAGAUCCUCAAGCUCGCGCGCCCUGGCCCCGGCCCCGGAGAGCGGGGCCGCCGCCGUACGUCCUCCUCCGCGGCGCCGCUCUCGGGCCUUGUGGCCGCCGUCGGCCGCGUCGCCAGGUACGUGCGCGCGCUCGUCCGCCUCCGCGGGGAGGAGUCGUCGUCGUCCACGGCACUCGUGCUGGUCCCGAGCCAGCAGCAGCAGCCUGACAGCCACGUCGACGUGGGCCGCUCGAGCUUCGGGCACUGCAAGGCGCCGAAGCGGACCAGGUCCAUGCCCAAGGCGCCAGGUACGACGUGCGCGCGCUCGUCCGCCGCGAGGGCCACGCGCCCGGCCGGCGGGUGCAGGGGCGCCGCGACGGUGCACGCCAUGAGGGACGCCGAGAGCGGCGGCGAGACGGUCCAGUGGGAAUGCCUGUUCCAGGACCUCAACCCCAACUGA
rnacentral:rRNA from 1 species